rnacentral:tRNA from 2 species
GGGGAAAUAGCUCAGUUGGUUAGAGUGCUUGUCUGUCACGCCAGAAGUCGCGGGUUCGAACCCCGUUUUCCUCG